UCUUUGUCAAAUAAAUAAAUAAAAUCUUUUAAAAAAAAUUAAAAAAUUAAAUCCUAAAAAAGUACCAUCUAAAGUUGCAAACAGGUGACACUGCGGUGCACCGAGUCUCCCCACGUCGCAUUGCCAUGGCUGCCCAUGGUGGCGUUGCUGCUGCCGGCAAGGGUCUGCGCUACACCGAGUACUCGCCGCCGGCAACUAAACGGCUGGACGCGGACAUGGACCAGGGACUGGCAAGAAGUUUGAUAGCUGUAGGACUGGGUGUUGCAGCUCUUGCAUUUGCAGGUCGCUAUGCAUUUCAAAUCUGGAAGCCUCUAGAACAAGUAAUCACAGAAACGGUGAAGAAGAUUUCCACUCCUAGCCUUUCAUCCUACUAUAAAGGAGGAUUUAAACAGAAAAUGAGUAGGCGAGAAGCUAGUCUUACUUUGGGUAUAAGUCCAUCUGCUGGCAAGGCCAAGAUUAGAACAGCUCAUAGGAGAAUCAUGAUUUUGAAUCACCCAGAUAAAGGUGGAUCUCCUUACUUAGCAACCAAAAUAAAUAAUGCAAAAGACUUGCCAGAAGCACCACAAAACAUUGAUUGAUGCUUAAGAAUCAUUCUGAAGGAAAAAAGGGGGGGAAUAUAAAACAAGUCCUGCAAAGUAGUCUAAACCACGGUGUUCAUAAUUUUCAUACAUGCACUGACCACAAUCAUUUAUUCCACUAUUAAGGUAUAUAAUAAUAAAAGAUUAACAAUCAAAAAAAAAAGUUGCAAACAGGGACGCCUGAGUGGCUCAGUUGGU